rnacentral:rRNA from 1 species
AACGAACGCUGGCGGCAGGCUUAACACAUGCAAGUCGAACGCCCCGCAAGGGGAGUGGCAGACGGGUGAGUAACGCGUGGGAACAUACCCUUUCCUGCGGAAUAGCUCUGGGAAACUGGAAUUAAUACCGCAUACGCCCUACGGGGGAAAGAUUUAUCGGGGAAGGAUUGGCCCGCGUUGGAUUAGCUAGUUGGUGGGGUAAAGGCCUACCAAGGCGACGAUCCAUAGCUGGUCUGAGAGGAUGAUCAGCCACAUUGGGACUGAGACACGGCCCAAACUCCUACGGGAGGCAGCAGUGGGGAAUAUUGGACAAUGGGCGCAAGCCUGACCCAGCAAUGCCGCGUGAGUGAUGAAGGCCCUAGGGUUGUAAAGCUCUUUUACCCGGGAUGAUAAUGACAGUACCGGGAGAAUAAGCCCCGGCUAACUCCGUGCCAGCCGCCGCCGUAAAAC